CCUACGGGGAGCAGCAGUGAGGAAUAUUGGUCAAUGGGCGCGAGCCUGAACCAGCCAAGUAGCGUGCAGGAUGACUGCCCUACGGGUUGUAAACUUCUUUUAUAAAGGAAUAACGUGAGCCACGUGUGCCUUUCUGUAUGUACUUUCUGAAUCAGGAUCGGCUAACUCCGUGCCAGCAGCCGCGGUAAUACGGAGGAUCCGAGCGUUAUCCGGCUUUAUUGGGGUUAAAGGGAGCGUAGAUGGGUUGUUAAGUCAGGUGUGAAAGUUGGCGGCUCAACCGGAAAAUUGCAAUUGAUACUGGCAGUCUUGAGUACAGUAGAGGUAGGCGGAAUUCGUGGUGUAGCGGUGAAAUGCUUAGAUAUCACGAAGAACUCCGAUUGCGAAGGCAGCUUACU
rnacentral:rRNA from 1 species